rnacentral:rRNA from 1 species
UACGUAGGGUGCAAGCGUUAAUCGGAAUUACUGGGCGUAAAGCGUGCGCAGGCGGUUUUGUAAGUCUGUCGUGAAAGCCCCGGGCUCAACCUGGGAAUUGCGAUGGAGACUGCAAGGCUUGAAUCUGGCAGAGGGGGGUAGAAUUCCACGUGUAGCAGUGAAAUGCGUAGAGAUGUGGAGGAACACCGAUGGCGAAGGCAGCACCCUGGGGCAAGAUUGACGCUCAUGCACGAAAGCGUGGGGAGCAAACAGG